rnacentral:rRNA from 1 species
ACGGGUGAGUAACGCGUGGGUAACCUGCCUUAUACAGGGGGAUAACAGUUGGAAACGACUGCUAAUACCGCAUAAGCGCACAGUGCUGCAUGGCACGGUGUGAAAAGAUUUAUCGGUAUAAGAUGGACCCGCGUCUGAUUAGCUAGUUGGUGAGGUAAUGGCUCACCAAGGCGACGAUCAGUAGCCGGCUUGAGAGAGUGAACGGCCACAUUGGGGCUGAGACACGGCCCAAACUCCUACGGGAGGCAGCAGUGGGGAAUAUUGCACAAUGGGGGAAACCCUGAUGCAGCGACGCCGCGUGAGUGAAGAAGUAUUUCGGUAUGUAAAGCUCUAUCAGCAGGGACGAAGAAAUGACGGUACCUGACUAAGAAGCCCCGGCUAACUACGUGCCAGCAGCCGCGGUAAUACGUAGGGGGCAAGCGUUAUCCGGAUUUACUGGGUGUAAAGGGAGCGUAGACGGUGAUGUAAGUCAGAUGUGAAAGCCCAGGGCUCAACCCUGGGACUGCAUUUGAAACUAUGUGACUAGAGUGCAGGAGAGGUAAGUGGAAUUCCUAGUGUAGCGGUGA